GACAGAGGAUGCAAGCGUUAUCCGGAAUGAUUGGGCGUAAAGCGUCUGUAGGUGGCUUUUCAAGUCCGCCGUCAAAUCCCAGGGCUCAACCCUGGACAGGCGGUGGAAACUACCAAGCUGGAGUACGGUAGGGGCAGAGGGAAUUUCCGGUGGAGCGGUGAAAUGCAUUGAGAUCGGAAAGAACACCAAUCGGCGAAAGCAGCUACUAGCUGGGACCCGGACAACCUGACACUGAGAGCGAAAGCUAGGGAGCAAAUGGAUUAGGAAACCCCUGU
rnacentral:rRNA from 1 species